CUUUAGACCUAAGGGUGAACCAUUCAAGAACAAUGUUUGCUGAUGAUGUUUUAAAGAAAGUCACACCAGUGAACUGGUGGAAGUCACUUAAGGACUUGGAU